rnacentral:rRNA from 1 species
UACGUAGGGGCGAGGCGUUGUCCGGAUUUAUUGGGCGUAAAGAGCUCGUAGGCGGUUUGGCAAGUCGGGUGUGAAACUCCGGCUCAACUCGGAGACGCCACUCGAUACUGCCAUGACUCGAGUCCGGUAGGGAGUGGCGGAAUUCCUGGUGUAGCGGUGAAAUGCGCAGAUAAUCAGGAGGAACACCGGUGGCGAAAGGCGGACACCGUCGUGGGCCGGAUGACUGACGCUGAGGGAGCGAAAGCGUGGGGAGCGAACAGGA